CUGACAAGCCCAGCCCGUUUCCAAUUCUUCUGCCUCAAGGGUCUAUUAUAUUCAUUAACAUCAUGGAUAGGGCUAUUGUUGACCUAUUUAACUAGUCUAUAGACAAAUASGAGAACGAGGCUAUUAUCGGUUAAUGUCCCACAAAAAGAGUAAGUAACUUUGAMGUUAACUUCAAAAUUCGCAAAUAGCGCUCAACAAGGAAGUAAAAACGAAAGACCAUCAAAAGAAURCCAGACGAAGAAACAAUUAUCAGGGGGAGGACACUGACUGUCUGAUAUCAUGGAUCAGACUCCUCAGUCUCUCGCUCCAGCCCAGCAUUCUGGUCCUUCGUCCUCCAUUACGUCUCAACCUGCUCAUCCACCGUCCUCCAUCAUGGCUCAACCUGCCCAUCCACCGUCCUCCAUYAUGGCUCAACCUGCCCAUCCUCAGACCUCCAUUAUGGCUCAGGGUGGUUCUGUUGUCGCUGCACCCCAGCUUGUUGGCUGCAUUGUUGCAGGUUCAGUUUCUCAACACAUCAAUAUUWCUAUGCCUUCACAUGGUGCUGAUGAAGACUGCCAAAAGUCAAGGACAAACACAAGUCCAACAUGAAGAAGAAGUUUGGGAGCAUUUGAGGGGCUUGGAAAACGGGGAAACCCAACAUUGCUUGACAAGAUCUACACAGAGCUCUACAUCACAGCUGGGGAGAGUGAAGGGGUUAAUAAAGAGCAUGAGGUAUGGCAGAUUGAAGAUACGGCUCGGACCAAAGCAUUUCAA